rnacentral:tRNA from 1 species
GCUGGUGUAGCUCAGUUGGUAGAGCAACUGCCUUGUAAGCAGUAGGUCGGCGGUUCAAAUCCGUUCACCAGCUCCA